UUCCGAAAAUGUUUUUCUCUCCUAGUCCAGUAAGCUAACACGUCACUUCUCUUCUAUUCCAUUUGUGUCUGUUCCCUGGGUUUUUCUUUGUCCUAAUUCUUUCUCUGUGAUUUCGUUAUUCUCGGAAAUAUCGCCUCAUCUCAACCCUAGGAAGUAAAAUGCAUAGGGUAUGAGAUCUAUCUCCGUCGUCUCAGGCGUUGGUCCUUUACUGUCCAUUUGUAAUCGUUAUCUCUUUUCUGGUAUCAACUAAUUGACCAGCCAAAGUACUUGGAUCAUCAAUUAGAGUUUGAAUGAAGGCAUUUACCACUCUAUGCUCGUUUUCUUUGAUCUCAAGCUAAACCAACAUUGACGCAACGAUGACAAGUAUAAACGGUUAGGUGUGAUACCUGGGAAUAUCUUGUGAAAAAGAUACUAAAGGCGGGUUCCUUGAGAAAAUUAUUCUUUAACUGAUGAUCGAGCAACCAAAACUCAAAUAGAAUGCACUGGUGCUGAAGUGGUUUGCUUAAUUAAGAAAGUUGAGAUUACUUUUAUUGUACUUUUAGGAUGAUUUACUGGGAUGAGCACCAGUAGAGUUAAAUGUUUGCUGCCUUUUUUAGUCAAGAUUUGCUCCUUUAUAACAAAAAAAAAAAUUCAAAUGUAUUCUUGAGAAGACAAUUGACUUUGCUGAUUUUCUUUUUUCACGCAGUAGAAAAGAUCAUGGUUGCAAGAUCAGAUAUUCUUAGGAAUUGUGUGUGUCUCAAUUAAAUACUUGGCCAUUCAACUGAGCUGCAAUGUAUUAGAAAUUCACAGGCAAGAGAGAUGUUCUUCUCAUGAUUUUAAGUAAAGCACAAGCUCUUUCUAAUGUUGUAUGGGGUGCACGGGCCUCAGCAUGCUCUCGGGCCCGUGCAGAGCACGGGAGCCUACAUCUAGUUCUCAUUAUAAGCUAAUGUGCUUGUCCACCGAGAUUUUUAGAUACGAAUUUGGGAGGCUACAAUUACUUAAAACAUGGCAGAAACUUUGAGACAUGAAAUAUUUUCCAUCAUAGUUGAUGUUACUCAUAUUCACAUUUAAAUUUUUUUGUUGAAAUAUUCCAAAACAAGGAAAUAGUGAUCAAGCUAAAUAUUAUAUA